UACGUAGGGUGCAAGCGUUAAUCGGAAUUACUGGGCGUAAAGCGUGCGCAGGCGGCUUUGCAAGACAGAUGUGAAAUCCCCGGGCUUAACCUGGGAACUGCAUUUGUGACUGCAAGGCUAGAGUGUGGCAGAGGAGACUGGAAUUCCUGGUGUAGCAGUGAAAUGCGUAGAUAUCAGGAGGAAUACCGAUGGCGAAGGCAGGUCUCUGGGCUAACACUGACGCUCAUGCACGAAAGCGUGGGGAGCAAACAGG
rnacentral:rRNA from 1 species